AAACUUAAAGGAAUUGACGGGGGCCCGCACAAGCAGCGGAGCAUGUGGUUUAAUCUCGAAGCAACGCGAAGAACCUUACCCAGACUUGACAUCUCCUGAAUUAAUCGUAAUGGAUGAAAUCCCUUCGGGGACAGGAAGACAGGUGGUGCAUGGUUGCCGUCAGCUCGUGUCGUGAGAUGUUGGGUUAAGUCCCGCAACGAGCGCAACCCUUAUCAUUAGUUGCUAACAUUCAGUUGAGCACUCUAGUGAGACUGCCCGGGUUAACCGGGAGGAAGGUGGGGAUGACGUCAAAUCAUCAUGCCCCUUAUGUCUGGGGCUACACACGUGCUACAAUGGUGGGAACAAAAAGAUGCAAGACCGUAAGGUGGAGCUAAACUCAAAAACCCAUCCCAGUUCGGAUUGUAGGCUGAAACUCGCCUACAUGAAGCUGGAGUUGCUAGUAAUCGCAAAUCAGAAUGUUGCGGUGAAUACGUUCCCGGGCCUUGUACACACCGCCCGUCACACCAUGAGAGUCGGCAACACCCGAAGCCCGUGAGGUAACCUUUUGGAACCAGCGGUCGAAGGUGGGGUUGAUAAUUGGGGUGAAGUCGUAACAAGGUAGCCGUAGGAG
rnacentral:rRNA from 1 species